UCCACAUGGGUUCUACUUUUAACAAUGGU
rnacentral:piRNA from 1 species